rnacentral:lncRNA from 1 species
UCUCUUCUCUGUGAAGUCACCAUGUGAUCGCCAGGAAGACAGGACACACAUGGACUGGACAGUACUCUAUCAUCCCCCGCUAAAUUUCGCCCAUUAUGUCUCCACCAGCUCUCAAACUUGGAGGCCAAGGACUCCGUUUAUUCCCACUUUGCAUUCCCAGCUCCUCCAACACGGAAGAAGCUUCCACAUCUGGGUGAUGGACGUAAAACUAAGCCAGAGCAUCCGGUAUAAUUAAAGGGAUCAGUUUCAUCAGUAGUGAUAGCUGACGAAAAGGCAGCCCGCUAGGUGGAAGGCUCUGGGAGUCAAAGAGAACAUUUGUGCGACUACGGACGUGGGACCCAGAAAUUAGCCUUUGUCUGCACCAAUCAGGGGCUGAGGAUACAAAGCGCUCAGCGGCCGAAGAGCCGAGCAACUGAGGAGCCCAAGGGCCGAGGGGUUGAGCGGCUAAGGAUAAAAUGAGCCAAGGCUACAACAAGCGGAAGGGCCGAAGAGCGGAGACGUGGAAGCGCUCGGGUUUCCCAACUCCAGGAAGCGAAAGGGAGAACUCACCUGGAAGCGGCCGCGCCACCUGCAGAGCCUCAGCCUAUUUGGCGAGCGCCCGCGUGGGUGGGCGGGCCUGAAGCGUGGCCACACCUUCUGGGCCCGGUCACGCCCCCUACGGCGUGCGCGUCCCCGCCCGGCGCCGCCUCGCGCAUGCGCCGUCAGCGGGAGACGGAGGUUGUGGGCGGCGGUGGCCACCGGGCGCGCGCUCUGGCUCUCGCCGUCGUUCCCUCUCGCUGGGUUCGCGUUCGCGCGCCGGGGCCGUGGCAGCAGCGGCAGCGGCA